rnacentral:rRNA from 1 species
GACGGAGGGUGCAAGCGUUGUUCGGAUUGACUGGGCGUAAAGGGCGUGUAGGCGGUCGGCCAAGUCUGAUGUGAAAGCCCGAGGCUCAGCCUCGGAAGUGCGUCGGAAACUAGUCGGCUGGAGCGCGAUAGAGGAGGGUGGAAUUCCUGGUGUAGCGGUGAAAUGCGUAGAUAUCGGGAGGAACACCUGUGGCGAAGGCGGGUCUCUGGGCCGAUACUGACGCUGAGGAGCGAAAGCGUGGGGAGCGAACAGG